AUCUUUUCUCAGAACUUGAAUAAAUAAAGAGUAUCGAACCACUGGACUACCUACGACCGACUCACUGAUCAUCUAAGCCAAUCCAAUCAGUCCACCACUUCCCACCCAAAAAGAGACCAUCGGUCAGUGGUCACCAAAACAAGAACGUACACAUGCAACCAAGAAAAAGCGCUGUGAGAAGUCCCCUAAUUCAAAUAAAGUGACUUGAUUCCACCAAACAGAUUGGACAGUACUGAGAACAAACACUAAGAUGCAAGGGAAACUGAUGCUAGCUGCUCUCGUCUUGCUCAUUCAAGCAUAUGUGUCCAUAGCGGCCCCAGGGGACUCUGACUCUGAGGGGGUUCUGCAGCGGGCAACAGAGGCAUACAGGGCAGCCAAAGUUAAAGCCCAGAGAAUAAGAGAGGUGGUGCAGGCCUUUGCUGGUGCGUACUACGAAGACCACAUCAAACCAGUGGCUGAUCCCUACAUGGACUGGGCCUCAGCCUCCACCAGUUCCUUCUGGGACAGAGUCAAGGAGAAGAUGGACCAGUACAGACCCAUCUAAUAGCACCUGAAUCUAAGGCAGACGAACACUCACCCAGCUCACUGCCAGCACAUAUACUCAUGCAAGGUGGUACUAGGACUGAUUCUAUGUUCAUAUGCACUAGGGAUUACAACUAGGACAUUUGUGUUACAAUGUUUUAGAAGAGCGUGUGAAUAAUGCAGUAUGAUUUGGCCGGUGAAUGAGGCCGGUGAACCUCAGCACAAGGGUUGUGAUAGUAUUAAAACUGCCAUAGAGUGUAUCAGUAAUCAUACCGUUAUGGCUCACAUAUUGCAUCUGAGUGAGUCAAUUAACUAUUGUGAACCACCAAAAUGAAUUAAAACUAAAUAAAAUAAAAACAUUUAAUUGUA